GUGUCCCAAAUGGCGCAGUGGUUAUAACGCACCUGCCUAGUAAGCAGGAGAUCCCGGGUUCGAAUCCCGGUCCGGUACACA